rnacentral:rRNA from 1 species
UACGUAGGGCGCAAGCGUUGUCCGGAAUUAUUGGGCGUAAAGAGCUCGUAGGCGGCCUGUUGCGUCCGCUGUGAAAUCCCGGGGCUCAACCCCGGGCGUGCAGUGGAUACGGGCUGGCUGGAGGCAGGCAGGGGGGAACGGAAUUCCUGGUGUAGCGGUGAAAUGCGCAGAUAUCAGGAGGAACACCGGUGGCGAAGGCGGUUCUCUGGGCCUGUACUGACGCUGAGGAGCGAAAGCGUGGGGAGCGAACAGG